GUUCAUAACCCUUUGUUGUCCGACUCUGUUGCCUCCGGGGCGACCCUGCCUUCGGGCGGGGGCUCCGGGUGGACACUUCAAACUCUUGCGUAACUUUGCAGUCUGAGUAAAUUUAAUUAAUAAAUUAAAACUUUUAACAACGGAUCUCUUGGUUCUGGCAUCGAUGAAGAACGCAGCGAAAUGCGAUAAGUAAUGUGAAUUGCAGAAUUCAGUGAAUCAUCGAAUCUUUGAACGCACAUUGCGCCCCCUGGUAUUCCGGGGGGCAUGCCUGUUCGAGCGUCAUUUCACCACUCAAGCCUCGCUUGGUAUUGGGCAACGCGGUCCGCCGCGUGCCUCAAAUCGACCGGCUGGGUCUUCUGUCCCCUAAGCGUUGUGGAAACUAUUCGCUAAAGGGUGCUCGGGAGGCUACGCCGUAAAACAAACCCAUUUCUAAGGUUGACCUCGGAUCAGGUAGGGAUACCCGCUGAACUUAAGCAU
rnacentral:rRNA from 1 species